UGGCGAGUGGCGAACGGGUGAGUAAUACAUCGGAACGUGCCCUGUAGUGGGGGAUAACUAGUCGAAAGAUUAGCUAAUACCGCAUACGACCUGAGGGUGAAAGUGGGGGACCGCAAGGCCUCAUGCUAUAGGAGCGGCCGAUGUCUGAUUAGCUAGUUGGUGAGGUAAAGGCUCACCAAGGCGACGAUCAGUAGCUGGUCUGAGAGGACGAUCAGCCACACUGGGACUGAGACACGGCCCAG
rnacentral:rRNA from 1 species